rnacentral:rRNA from 1 species
CCUACGGGAGGCAGCAGUGAGGAAUAUUGGUCAAUGGACGGAAGUCUGAACCAGCCAUGCCGCGUGCAGGAAGACGGCUCUAUGAGUUGUAAACUGCUUUUGUACAAGGGUAAACCUGAAUACGUGUAUUCAGCUGAAAGUACUGUACGAAUAAGGAUCGGCUAACUCCGUGCCAGCAGCCGCGGUAAUACGGAGGAUCCAAGCGUUAUCCGGCUUUAUUGGGUUUAAAGGGUGCGUAGGCGGAUUGGUAAGUUAGAGGGGAAAUGUUCGAGCUUAACUCGGGAACUGCCUCUAAUACUGUUGAUCUAGAGAGUAGAUGCGGUAGGCGGAAUGUAUGGUGUAGCGGUGAAAUGCUUAGAGAUCAUACAGAACACCGAUUGCGAAGGCAGCUUACCAAUCUAUAUCUGACGUUGAGGCACGAAAGCGUGGGGAGCAAACAGGAUUAGAUACCCCUGUAGUC